GGUAAGAUGGCCGAAGCAGGCAAUGGGCUGUAAACCCAGUUAUAGGGGUUUAAGUCCCCUUUUUAUCA
rnacentral:tRNA from 1 species